rnacentral:lncRNA from 1 species
UCAUUUUUUAUCACUAAAACAACCCUUAAUCAAAGCAUUUCAAAACCUAUCCAUAACCCACCCACUUUCAGAUAAUUGCAAAUAGCACAAACCUCAAAUGCUCAAUUAACCAAACACGCCCAAAGAGAUCAACAAGUUUUCAUAGCAAACCCGUACCAAAUUACAUUGAAUUGAAUUAAAAGAAAAUGAAAAGUUUUGAAUCCAACACCUGAUUCGUAAUCAAGACGCUUAGAAACCAAUCGACACACGUUGACGACCUCGAUAUGAACCUGAAGCUUUUCGAAACGAAAAAAUCCAUUCUCUCCUUUUUCUUUUUCAAAAGAAAAAAGAGAAAAAAAUCGAUGGAGAACGUGCCAAAAGAAAAGAAAAGAAAAAAGAAACAAUAAAAGAAAUAAAUAAUUAUUUCUUGUUUUUACUUAAACAAAUCUAAUAGUUACAAAAUAAAAAUACCUCUCCAAAAUGCACACGAGGAAUCAAACCCAAAACCCAAAGGUACAUUGACAUUCAACUAACCACCAAACCAGUAGGCCCAUUCUGACACUAAAGCGCGA